rnacentral:rRNA from 14 species
UUGAAGAGUUUGAUCAUGGCUCAGAUUGAACGCUGGCGGCAGGCCUAACACAUGCAAGUCGAACGGUAACAUUUCUAGCUUGCUAGAAGAUGACGAGUGGCGGACGGGUGAGUAAUACUUGGGGAUCUGCCUUUGUGAGGGGGAUAACUACUGGAAACGGUAGCUAAUACCGCAUAAUGUCUACGGACCAAAGGGGGCUUCGGCUCUCGCCUUUAGAUUGGCCCAAGUGGGAUUAGGUAGUUGGUGAGGUAAUGGCUCACCAAGGCUACGAUCUUUAGCUGGUCUGAGAGGAUGAUCAGCCACACCGGGACUGAGACACGGCCCGGACUCCUACGGGAGGCAGCAGUGGGGAAA